AGAUUGAACGCUGGCGGCAUGCUUUACACAUGCAAGUCGAACGGUAACAGGCCGCAAGGUGCUGACGAGUGGCGAACGGGUGAGUAAUGCAUCGGAACGUGCCCAGUCGUGGGGGAUAACGCAGCGAAAGCUGUGCUAAUACCGCAUACGAUCUAUGGAUGAAAGCGGGGGACCGAAAGGCCUCGCGCGAUUGGAGCGGCCGAUGUCAGAUUAGCUAGUUGUGGGG
rnacentral:rRNA from 1 species